GGCCGCCUGGCGAAAUGGCAUCGCGUCUGACUACGAUUGAUUCUUCACACUGCACAUCGAGAUCAGGAGAUUGCAGGUUCGACCCCUGCGGUGGUCA